rnacentral:rRNA from 1 species
CCCUUAGAUGUUCUGGGCCGCACGCGCGCUACACUGAUUCAUGCAACAAGUUUUGUCCUUGGCUGAUAGGCCUGGGUAAUCUUUGAACGUGAAUCGUGAUGGGGAUAGAUGAUUGCAAUUAUUCAUCUUCAACGAGGAAUUCCUAGUAAACGCAAGUCAUCAGCUUGCAUUGAUUACGUCCCUGCCCUUUGUACACACCGCCCGUCGCACCUACCGAUUGAAUGAUCCGGUGAAAUCUUCGGAUCUGAGAGAUGUCUGAUUAAUUUCGGACGCCUUUUGGAAAAGUUGCUUAAACCUUACCAUUUAGAGGAAGGUGAAGUCGUAACA